UUUCAGGUAAGCUGGCAAGAAUGGAACUUCAUCUGUUGAACGCUGGAAACUUAGUCAGUUCAAGGUGUCGCAGACACAAAAAAUGUGCUCUGAUACUGGCGCCUCAUUUUCCUGAAUUCAGCCAGAAUUCUUGGCGGCAGUCAAUCUGCUACUAUUUUUGUCAGAUCUUUCUUCACAGACACGAAGUCAUCACAGUAAAAGCGAGUUACCAGACAGCGAAAAGAUAAAUGGUCCUGAUUUUAGAAUCGAUCGAAUGCUAUGUAUUGUAUUCUGUAAAUUUUUGUGAUUGAUUAUUGAGUAAAUGGAGUAUUUUUUCACUUUA